rnacentral:rRNA from 1 species
GACGAACGCUGGCGGCGUGCUUAACACAUGCAAGUCGAACGAAGAGCGAUGGAAGCUUGCUUCUAUCAAUCUUAGUGGCGAACGGGCGAGUAACGCGUAAUCAACCUGCCCUUCAGAGGGGGACAACAGUUGGAAACGACUGCUAAUACCGCAUACGAUCUAAUCUCGGCAUCGAGGAUAGAUGAAAGGUGGCCUCUACAUGUAAGCUAUCACUGAAGGAGGGGAUUGCGUCUGAUUAGCUAGUUGGAGGGGUAACGGCCCACCAAGGCGAUGAUCAGUAGCCGGUCUGAGAGGAUGAACGGCCACAUUGGGACUGAGACACGGCCCAGACUCCUACGGGAGGCAGCAGUGGGGAAUCUUCCGCAAUGGACGAAAGUCUGACGGAGCAACGCCGCGUGAGUGAUGACGGCCUUCGGGUUGUAAAGCUCUGUUAAUCGGGACGAAAGGCCUUCUUGCGAAUAGUGAGAAGGAUUGACGGUACCGGAAGAGAAAGCCACGGCUAACUACGUG